CAGGACCACCAGAACUUCCUAACUGGACUACUGGGAGGGUCGUUGUCCCAUCUACAGUACUAUGUGAAAGCCGGCAACCUCCUUAACUACCUUGAUUCCCACCACGUUCCUAACUCUUCGUGCACGUUCCUAACUCGUCCCAAUGACCGAUCAGAUAGCGAGUCGCCCCAUACUGAUUACUUCUACGUCAAAAAGGACGAAAAUUGCCUAAAAAAACGUGGAUUUAUAUGCGGUUUUGCUCCAGGCACCACCACCACCACCACCACCACUACCACCACCACCACCACCACCACCUACUACUACUACUACUACUACUACUACCACGAAGCCAGUUAAGCUGUGCGCGUCCUCUGAGUACCGAUGUGUGGGCGCUCCUAACUGCGUGUCACGAGGCGCCUUGUGUGACGGUCAAGUGAAUUGCUUCCUUGGUGACGACGAGGCCAACUGUAACCGCUACUUGAAGGAAUACCACCACUUCCCUAACCGCACCCCAGUAGCAGGCGUGGGCGUGGGCGUGGGUGAGCGCGGGCGCCUCCUGAAGCAGGUGUGGCGUGUGGGCGCGGGCGUGUGUGCCAGACUCUGCUCGGACACUCAACGAUGCGUCGCCUUCAUCUACGAGAGAGAGAGAGA